rnacentral:rRNA from 1 species
GUCUACGACCAAGCCACCCUGAACAUGUCCGAUCUUGUCUUAUCUUGGAAGCUAAGGUCGGGCCUGGUUAGUUCUUGGACGGGAGACCACCUAGGAAUAGCAGGUGACGUAGGUG